AUUCUUUUAGUAUCAACAAGUACAACUGACUUCCAAUCAGUAAGUUCCAGCGCCUACUGGAAAAGAAUA
rnacentral:tRNA from 1 species